UACGGAGGGUGCAAGCAUUGAUCGGAAUUACUGGGCGUAAAGGGCGCGUAGGCGGAUUGUAAAGUCAGAUGUGAAAUUCCGGGGCUCAACCCCGGAGCUGCAUUUGAAACUUACGAUCUAGAGUACAGUUAGGGAAAACGGAAUUCCACGUGUAGCGGUGAAAUGCGUAGAUAUGUGGAAGAACACCCGUGGCGAAGGCGGUUCUCUGGGACGGUACUGACGCUGAGACGCGAAAGCGUGGGGAGCGAACAGG
rnacentral:rRNA from 1 species